CAGUUAAGUGAGCAGAAUCGAGAUAAACAUGCAGGUUUUCGCUUUUGUUUUUGUUAUUUUCGCACUGAUGGCGGUGGCGUUUGGACAAGCGCGUUUCCGUCGCUGUGACACGGACCACGAGGAUACGGAACCGCACCGCCGCUCCCUCGCCCUCGGGCCUGAGGGACGCCCGGAAUGAAGAUCCCAAGAUGAAAAGUGGCUUUCUAAACAACAUGUUUAUCCGCUGCCAGAAAUAAAAUUUUAUAUUUAAA